CUAUCACCACUGAUUACUGCCCAAUACAUGCCGGUUAGAUGUGUGUCCGACUUGAUCCCGACUUGCUCUGACGUCAUGCACACUUGGGCAACGAUGACCUCACAAGAUUAAGGCGGACGCAGUUUUUGGAGCGAGACAAUGCAGUUGCUUUCCACCGCUUGCAAGCUCCAGGGCAUGACGGGAAAUGCCUGGCUCUCAGCUGAUCUAACAGCUGAUUGGUUCAGAAUUGACUCAACAUGAUGAUGUUUUAUAUAAAUUUUUUUAU